UGACCUAAGCUGAAAUCAAAAGUUGGAAGCUUAAUCGACUGAGUCCCCCAGGCACCCCUUUAUUCCUCUUAAGAAAAUUCUUCUCUGUUACAAGUACCAGUUUAAACCAAUUUCUUGUUAGGAUUCUUAUAAAAAUGUCUGAAUGUAGGUCUUUACUAAACUGGGAGGCCAACACCACUGUUUUCUCACCCACCAUCUUCUGUUACUUGAACUUCUGAAAAAUCUCCUAACUGAUCUUUCUUUGUCCAUCCGUUUCAUUCUCCACAGUAUUGCUGGAGUCACUUCUACAACAUAAACUCGAUCCUAGCAGUCCCCUGCUUGCAAGGCUAUAGUGGUUCUCCAUUAUCUUUAGGAUUAAGCCUGCUAAUCCUUGACAGAGAUACUGGGUGGGGGGGUCACUAAAUGGCCCAUGUGUGUCCUACAUUUUCCAGGAUUUCUCUAGUGGUUAGUUGGAUCUUUGUGACUAGUUCUGGACAGCAGUGGAUGAACGUGUCUUUUUUGGGCAAAAGUAUUUAGGAAUCACUGUCAUACAUGCUCUUCACCUCUUGUAGUGACCCAGAGAGCCACAUGUUGAGACGGUAACAUCAAAAGAUAGCAGGAUCCCUAGUGUCUGAAAUACCCCAUGGAGAAUUGCCCUGGAAUGUCAUCUGAACUGCAUUGGAAUUUACUUGACAGAGAGACAAAUCUUUGUCAGUUAAGGCACUAAACAUUAGGUUUCUAUUUCUACAGCACAGGCUAGCCUACUGGGUAGGUACACAUAGUGAGCAUAGCCCCGCAGGCUCUAACUCCAGCCCAUCCUUCCAGUUUGUUCAACUGUCCAGGCAGGCAGGGCACCUUUCACUUCCUCCAAGGUAUCAUGCUUCCUCCUGCUUUUGGUUAUUUCCCAGUUGCACGGUAAUUUCUGCCUUUCCCCCAUCCUCCUUCCAACGCAUGAACUUUGGUUAAGUCUUACUCAUCCUUUAGGUCAUAAGCUGACCACCACUUCCUUAGGGAAACCCCCAUAGCUUCCCUUCAUCUUGCUCCUUAUACAUCAUUUCAAUUACUUCUAUUUAAAUAAAUCUGUCAGCACUACUAGACUCUAAGUUUGGCCAGAUUGCAGACCCUGUCCUUGUUAGGGACUCAUCACUGGUCCCUACACAGUGUCUGGCAUUCUAGUAAGGGCUGGACAAAUACUUGCUGAAUGAUGGAAUGAUUGACUGAAUGAAUCAGUGGAAGAUAAAUAAAGUGUGUAGCCAAAGGGGAAGCCUUGUGAGUGCAUAGCCAGUAAAUGAAUGAACAAAAGAACAGAAACAAUGUUGGAAUAUUGCAGGGGAUGCGAUUUCUAGUUUCACUCUAUGUUUCAAAUUAUUUUUCUCCAAGCCCCUGCUGUGCGGGAAGCCAGCUGCCAUGUUUUGAGCUCCCUACGGAGAGACUCUGAUGUCUCCAGACACCAUCCAGCAGAGACCUGUGGCUGCCCAUAGUCACGUGAGUGAGCUUGGGAGUGGCUCCUUCCCUCGUGGAACCUUCAGAUAGAUGACUACUGCCCUGGGGGAAGCCUCAGUCGUAUACUCCUGGGAGACUCUGAGCCAUCCCCAGAUUCCUCACUCACAGAAACUGUGAGAUAGGGGCUCCUGCGUGGCUCAGUCAGUAAAGCUUCCGCCUUCGGAU